rnacentral:rRNA from 1 species
AGGACUAACGUUGGCGGCGUGCAUAACACAUGCAAGUUGAGCGUGGCUUUAGUUUACUAAAGUCUAGCAGCGGACGGCUGAGUAAUGCACAGGAACGUACCUCGAAGUGGGGAAUAGCCCUUCGAAAGAAGGGGUAAUACCGCAUGUGAUCGCAAGAUCAAAGCCGCAAGGCGCUUUGAGAACGGCCUGUGUCCUAUCAGGUAGUUGGUGGGGUAAAUGCCUACCAAGCCUAUGACGGGUAGCUGGUCUGAGAGGAUGACCAGCCAGAUCGGGACUGAGACACGGCCCGAACUCCUACGGGAGGCAGCAGUUGGGAAUUUUGCGCAAUGGACGAAAGUCUGACGCAGCGACGCCGCGUGCAGGAAGAAGGCCUUCGGGUUGUAAACUGCUUUUGCGAGAGAGUAAUUUGUGAACGUACCUCGCGAAUAAGCACCGGCUAACUCCGCGCCAGCAGCCGC